rnacentral:antisense_RNA from 1 species
CUUGACGGAGCCGAGCCAGAGGGGUGCGUCGUCCGGCCGGUCCUGGCCGUACGUGGCCAGCAACGCCUGUGCCUC